UUUUGACAGGAAAAUUUUAGUUUCUAAUUACAUGUUUUAUUAGAUGAGGGUAAUUUGGUCAUUCUUUUUAAGGGAAGGGGUAUUUUUUCAAAUUGACAACAUAAAAGGGUAUUGUUGCAAAAAGGUAGUAAAAAAAAGUUGUUUUACAAAUCUCCCUAUAUUUUAGAUUACAUAAAGAAUAUUAAUACAUAAGAUAAUAUUUUUUAAAAAGUAAAAAACAAU
rnacentral:sRNA from 1 species